GGAAUUGUGAGGAUUGUGUGUGUGUGUGUGUAGAGGCAUAGCAUACCUAUCAAGAACUUUGUGGACACAGUCCUUUGUGUUCUUUCCUCCGAUUCUGGCAAUUUGCAGCACCUGUUGGAAUAAGUGCAUGACACAGACUUCUAAAACUUACCAAGACAUCAAAGGCUUUUGGAUCACAGAGACGUUCCUCCUCUCUCUCUAAAUCCUCGAUGGUCACCAUUCUCUCAACGUGAAGAGAUGGGUUGUGUUCGUUUAUGCUGAUCGCGAAGUUCCAUCAGCAAGUUUAACACCUUUUUCUGGAACACUUAAAUAAUCACAUUUGUUGAUUAUUAUGCUAUCGCUACCUAAUGUAGCAAGGCUACCCAGCUGGUUAAUAAUUUUUGUAAUCCGCUUCUGCAUUUUUCAUUAACGCAGCGGAGAAGAUAGAAAAUGUUUCAAUGUCAAUUAAUCAAUACUUACCAGCCGGAGGCAAUGGGAGUGCCCACCUUCCAUUGCCCAAUCUGAAGGAGUUAUCGAGGUGCCGGGACAUGUAGGCAUCAUCGUGGUGCAUGGACCUGGACCUGAAUGCGUCAUCGCGGGACCUGGACUUGGAGGCGCCAUUGCGGGACCUGGACUUGGAGGCGCCAUUGCGGUGCCUGGACCUGGACCUGGAGGCGUCAUCGUGGUGCCUGGACCUGGACCUGGAGGCGUCAUCGCAGUGCCUGGACCUAGACCUGGAGGCGUCAUCGCGGUGCACAUUUCAGGCCAUGUCUCAUAAGUACUCACAAACAUUGUUUAAUAUGUCGGCGUUGUGAAUGGAUUGGAGUUUCCUGGGUGCUGCAGAGUAGUUGGGCAGCUUGACGCCUGUAUAAAGUUAAUUUAAAGUACAAAUAAGCAUUUGUAUUGUCAAAAAAGAUAUCAUAUAAAGAAUCUGAUUACUUUUCAAACUGGAAUUGUGAAAUUGUUGAAAACCCAUUACCUCUGAUGCUCUCUUCUUCAUCUGAAGAUGUUAAUUCUGCAAAAGAGAGAACAAAAGUUCACAAAGAUUGAUGUCUAAGAUUUAUCUAUUUCUGCCACUAGAGCACAAAUGUAUAAGUUGUAUAAUGUAUAAGAAUGAGAAACGGACCGCUUCU